rnacentral:rRNA from 1 species
GUAACGGCGAGUGAAGCGGCAACAGCUCAGAUUUGAAAUCUGGCCCCUUGGGGUCCGAGUUGUAAUCUGCAGAGGAUGCUUUCGGCGAGGUGCCUUCUGAGUCCCCUGGAACGGGGCGCCAUAGAGGGUGAGAGCCCCGUAUAGUCGGCCACCGAGCCUCUGUAAAGCUCCUUCGACGAGUCGAGUAGUUUGGGAAUGCUGCUCUAAAUGGGAGGUAAAUUUCUUCUAAAGCUAAAUACCGGCCAGAGACCGAUAGCGCACAAGUAGAGUGAUCGAAAGAUGAAAAGCACUUUGAAAAGAGGGUUAAAUAGCACGUGAAAUUGCUGAAAGGGAAGCGCUUGUGACCAGACUUGCGCCCGGCGGAUCAUCCGGCGUUCUCGCCGGUGCACUCCACCGGGUCCAGGCCAGCAUCGGUUUCGCCAGGGGGACAAAAGCCGUGGGAACGUAGCUCUCUUCGGGGAGUGUUAUAGCCCAUGGCACAAUGCCCUUAGGCGGGACCGAGGUUCGCGCUCUGCAAGGAUGCUGGCGUAAUGGUCAUCAGCGACCCGUCUUGAAACACGGACCAAGGAGUCAAGCAUUAGGGCGAGUCUUUGGGUGUAAAACCCGCAGGCGCAAUGAAAGUGAACGUAGGUGAGAGCUUCGGCGCAUCAUCGACCGAUCCUGAUGUAUUCGGAUGGAUUUGAGUAAGAGCCUUACCGCUUGGACCCGAAAGAUGGUGAACUAUGCCUGAAUAGGGUGAAGCCAGAGGAAACUCUGGUGGAGGCUCGCAGCGGUUCUGACGUGCAAAUCGAUCGUCAAAUUUGGGCAUGGGGGCGAAAGACUAAUCGAACCAUCUAGUAGCUGGUUACCGCCGAAGUUUCCCUCAGGAUAGCAGUGUUGUUUUCAGUUUUAUGAGGUAAAGCGAAUGAUUAGGGACUCGGGGGCGCUAUUUAGCCUUCAUCCAUUCUCAAACUUUAAAUAUGUAAGAAGCCCUUGUUGCUUAGCUGAACGUGGGCAUUCGAAUGUAUCAACACUAGUGGGCCAUUUUUGGUAAGCAGAACUGGCGACGUGGGAUGAACCAAUAGUGGGGUUAAGGUGCCGGAGUGGACGCUCAUCAGACACCACAAAAGGCGUUGAUACAUCUUGACAGCAGGACGGUGGCCAUGGAAGUCGGAAUCCGCUAAGGACUGUGUAACAACUCACCUGCCGAAUGUAUCAGCCCUGAAAAUGGAUGGCGCUCAAGCGUCCCACCCAUACCCCGCCCUCAGGGUAGAAACGAUGCCCUGAGGAGUAGGCGGCCGCGGCGGCUGUGACGAA